rnacentral:rRNA from 1 species
GACGAACGCUGGCGGCGUGCCUAAUACAUGCAAGUUGAGCGCUGAAGGUUGGUACUUGUACCAACUGGAUGAGCAGCGAACGGGUGAGUAACGCGUGGGGAAUCUGCCUUUGAGCGGGGGACAACAUUAGGAAACGAAUGCUAAUACCGCAUAAAAACUUUAAACACAAGUUUUAAGUUUGAAAGAUGCAAUUGCAUCACUCAAAGAUGAUCCCGCGUUGUAUUAGCUAGUUGGUGAGGUAAAGGCUCACCAAGGCGAUGAUACAUAGCCGACCUGAGAGGGUGAUCGGCCACAUUGGGACUGAGACACGGCCCAAACUCCUACGGGAGGCAGCAGUAGGGAAUCUUCGGCAAUGGACGAAAGUCUGACCGAGCAACGCCGCGUGAGUGAAGAAGGUUUUCGGAUCGUAAAACUCUGUUGGUAGAGAAGAACGUUGGUGAGAGUGGAAAGCUCAUCAAGUGACGGUAACUACCCAGAAAGGGACGGCUAACUACGUG